AGCAUCUUUGUGGUCAAGUUGUGUAGGGCACAUGGUGGAUGUCUGGGCACUAGGGGCCGAUGAAGGACGUGGGAGGCUGCGAUAAGCCUCGGGGAGCUGUCAACCGAGCUGUGAUCCGAGGGUGUCCGAAUGGGGUAACCCGGCACCUGUUAUGAGGUGUCACCCGCACCUGAAUGUAUAGGGUGUGUGGAGGGAACGCGGGGAAGUGAAACAUCUCAGUACCCGUAGGAAGAGAAAACAAGUGUGAUUCCGUGAGUAGUGGCGAGCGAAAGCGGAGGAGGCUAAACCGUGCGCAUGUCAAGCUGUCAGGUGUUGUGUGUGCGGGGUUGUGGGACCUGUUUGCCAGGGGCUGACACUCCUGGGGAUGCGUUGUGUGGUUAGCGGAACGCUUUGGGAUGAGCGGCCGGAGUGGGUGAGAGUCCCGUACGUGAAAACUGCAUGGGCGUGUCUGGAAUGGUGUUCCCGAGUAGCAGCGAGCUCGUGGAAUUUGCUGUGAAUCUGCCGGGACCACCCGGUAAGCCUAAAUACUUCCUGGUGACCGAUAGCGGACGAGUACCGUGAGGGAAAGAUGAAAAGUACCCCGGGAGGGGAGUGAAAGAGUACCUGAAACCGUGUGCCUGCAAGCCGUCAGAGCAAUGCUGGUCGUUGUGAUGGCGUGCCUUUUGAAGAAUGAGCCUGCGAGUUCGUGCUGCGUGGCGAGGUUAACCCGUGUGGGGUAGCCGUAGCGAAAGCGAGUCUGAAGAGGGCGUGUGAGUUGCGUGGUCGAGACCCGAAGCGGAGUGAUCUACCCAUGGCCAGGCUGAAGCGCCGGUAAGACGGUGUGGAGGGCCGAACCCACCAGGGUUGAAAACCUGGGGGAUGAGUUGUGGGUAGGGGUGAAAGGCCAAUCAAACUCCGUGAUAGCUGGUUCUCCCCGAAAUGCAUUUAGGUGCAGCGUCGUAUGUUUCACACCUGGGGUAGAGCUACUGGGUGGCCUAGGGGCCUUACCGGGUUACCGAAGUCAACCAAACUCCGAAUACGGGUGUGUGAGAGUGCGGCAGUGAGACGGCGGGGGAUAAGCUUCGUCGUCGAGAGGGAAACAGCCCAGAACGCCAGCUAAGGCCCCUAAGUGUGUGCUCAGUGGGAAAGGAUGUGGAGUCGCUGAGACAACCAGGAGGUUGGCUUAGAAGCAGCCAUCCUUGAAAGAGUGCGUAAUAGCUCACUGGUCAAGUGGUUCUGCGCCGACAAUGUAGCGGGGCUUAAGCACACCGCCGAAGCUGUGUCACUCACA
rnacentral:rRNA from 1 species